AUGGUCAUGGUGCAAUGCACCGGCGAGGGUAGCGUGGACGAGGAGGCUGGCGCCGGCUCAUCGGCGACCGCAUCCUCCAUUCAUCGUAGCCCUUCGGUUGAAGCCAGUAGCAAUGGCGGCCAUCUCCUUCUUCUCCUCCAGCACCAGCCUGUCCCAGAGAACUUUAGCGCGGGAGAAAUCCAUGGUGGGAGUGGUGCGGAGAGGGAUUGGAUGCAGAUGACUACAACUAUGGUCAUGGCAGCAGUUUAUAUAGCAAUGAUGGGCGACAGAGGGACGGACAAGUGGCGCAGAGUAGCCGCCUCAGCAAUCGUGUGUCAUUAA
rnacentral:rRNA from 1 species